UUUAGUCCUAACUCUUCACCUUUUUUAUCUUUUUACUUCCUCUUUCUAAAGUUUUGCUUCUUUCCUUCUCCCUCUCACCAAAACAAUUUGCUCACAAAGGAGGAAAAAUGGCACCUUUCGUUUCCCUCUUUUUGUUGCUUCUCUUUCUUAACUACCCCUUCAUUUCCCUUUCAACCAACCCUGAAGAAGAGAAGGUUCAAGCAGCUGGUGUCUCGCUAAGCGAGGCAUAUGCGCUUAGCGAAUGACAUCCGUUAAGCAAGGCACGCAGCUCGCUUAGCGUGUUGGAAAACCCUAGAAGAGAUCAGUUAGAGAUGUGCUCGCCCAACAUGCCACAACUCGUCCAGCAAGUCGUUUGUCUCUUCUCGCGCUCAGCACGCCCAGCUCACUAAGCCAAAUUUCACUAACUCGCGCUUAGCGAGCCAAUCUCGCUAAACGAGCCUUCAGAAUCUGAAACGUCAAGGAGCCUUUAAAACACUGAAGUUGACGGAAACUAAAAAAAGAGGAGUAAAAAAACAGAGCCAAAGGAGAAGCUAGAGCGACAAAAACGAAGCAACCAAGAGAGUCUAGGUUAGAGGAGUGAGAUUAGGGUUCUAGAAGUUGAAGGUGAGAUCCUCAACCAUCCUUAGCCAUUUUCUUCCCUCAAAAUCUGUCCUUUGUAUUGAAAGUUCAUUACUUGUAAUGGAAGGUUAAACCUUUUGGUCGGGGAGUUCUGUUGAACCUUUGAUGUAAUACUCUUUCACUAUCUAUUUAAUAUUAUUUUUAUGUGUUCA